rnacentral:rRNA from 1 species
GUAGCUAAAUGCGGAAGAGAUAAGUGCUGAAAGCAUCUAAGCACGAAACUUGCCCCGAGAUGAGUUCUCCCUGACUCCUUGAGAGUCCUGAAGGAACGUUGAAGACGACGACGUUGAUAGGCCGGGUGUGUAAGCGCAGCGAUGCGUUGAGCUAACCGGUACUAAUGAACCGUGAGGCUUAACCUU